UUAGAACUAAUUCUGCGGCCAGGAGCUCCAACUAGCCCUGAUAGAUGAGAUGUCAAGAUGAGCCUUAAAGAAGCAUCUGCAUCCCUUUCUCCAUACUCAGGCAUGUGCAUUUCUUCACAGAAAUCAGUCCCUGUAAAAAAAAAGAGGAUACCAGCUCCAUGAGGGCAUUGAAGGCUUUCAGAGUCGUAAUCCCAAGCAGAGGAGCCCAUGCCACACCACUUUGUAAGAACAUAGUCAAGUCAGAGGACGUGUUAAUCUGGAUCCUAUACUUUGCAAUU